rnacentral:misc_RNA from 1 species
GAUGAAGAACGUAGCGAAAUGCGAUAAGUAAUGUGAAUUGCAGAAUUCAGUGAAUCAUCGAAUCUUUGAACGCACAUUGCGCCCCCUGGUAUUCCGGGGGGCAUGCCUGUUCGAGCGUCAUUUCACCACUCAAGCCUCGCUUGGUAUUGGGCAACGCGGUCCGCCGCGUGCCUCAAAUCGACCGGCUGGGUCUUCUGUCCCCUAAGCGUUGUGGAAACUAUUCGCUAAAGGGUGUUCGGGAGGCUACGCCGUAAAACAACCCCAUUUCUAAGGUUGACCUCGGAUCAGGUAGGGAUACGCGCUGAACUUAAGCAUAUCAAUAAGCGGAGGA